UACGUAGGGGCCGAGCGUUGUCCGGAGUUAUUGGGCGUAAAGCGCGCGCAGGCGGCUUGACGCGCCCGACGUGAAAGCCCCCGGCUUAACCGGGGAGGGUCGUCGGGUACGGUCAGGCUUGAGGGCGGGAGAGGGUGGUGGAAUUCCCGGUGUAGUGGUGAAAUGCGUAGAGAUCGGGAGGAACACCUGUGGCGAAGGCGGCCACCUGGGCCGACCCUGAUGCUGAGGCGCGAAGGCGUGGGGAGCGAACGGG
rnacentral:rRNA from 1 species